AUGGAACAAUGUAGGCAAGGGAAGUCGGCAAAACGGAUCCGUAAAUUCGGGAAAAGGAUUGGCUCUGAGGACUGGGCUCGGGGGUCCCGGCCCCGAACCCGUCGGCUGUCGGCGGAUUGCUCGAGCUACUCACGCGGCGAGAGCGGGUCGCCGCGUGCCGGCCGGGGGACGGACCGGGAAUCGCCCCUUCGGGGGCUUUCCCCGAGCAUGAAACAGUCGACUCAGAACUGGUACGGACAAGGGGAAUCCGACUGUUUAAUUAAAACAAAGCAUUGCGAUGGUCCUCGCGGAUGCUGA
rnacentral:rRNA from 1 species